UGAAUACGAGACGCUACGGCGUCGAAGCAGUCUAUGUCAUACUUCCAAGUAAAGCUUGCACUGUCAUAAACAAAUAAUGCCUGUACCAUAACCGACACAGGUGGGUAGGUAGAGUAUACUAAGGGGCGCGAGAUAACUCUCUCUAAGGAACUCGGCAAAAUGACUCAGUAACUUCGGGAGAAGGAGUGCCUUAUUUAUAAGGUUGCAAUAACAAGAUCCAAGCAACUGUUUAUCAAAAACACAGGUCUCCGCUAAGUCGUAAGACGAUGUAUGGGGGCUGACGCCUGCCCAGUGCCAGAAGGUUAAAGAAGUUGGUUAGCAUUAGCGAAGCUGAUAACUGAAGCCCUGGUGAACGGCGGCCGUAACCAUAACGGUCCUAAGGUAGCGAAAUUCCUUGUCGGGUAAGUUCCGACCCGCACGAAAGGCGUAAUGAUUUGGAUACUGUCUCGGAGAGGGGCUCGGUGAAAUAGACUUGUCUGUGAAGAUGCGGACUACCUGCACCAGGACAGAAAGACCCUAUGAAGCUUUACUGUAACCUGAAAUUGAAAUUGGACUUUAUUUGCGCAGUAUAGGUGGGAGGCAUUGAGAAUAUUCUUGCGGGAAUGUUGGAGCCAUCAGUGAGAUACCACUCUUGUAAUGUUAGAUUUCUAACUUUGUAUCAUUAUCUGGUCAAAGGACAGUUUCAGGCGGGCAGUUUGACUGGGGCGGUCGCCUCCUAAAUGGUAACGGAGGCGCACAAAGGUUUCCUCUGAACGGGUAGAAAUCGUAUCUAGAGUGUAAAGGCAUAAGGAAGCUUGACUGUGAGACCUACAAGUCGAGCAGGGACGAAAGUCGGUCUUAGUGAUCUGACGGUGCUGAGUGGAAAGGCCGUCACUCAACGGAUAAAAGUUACUCUAAGGAUAACAGGCUGAUCUCCCCCAAGAGUUCACAUCGACGGGGAGGUUUGGCACCUCGAUGUCGGCUCAUCGCAUCCUGGGGCGGUAGUACGUCCCAAGGGUUGGGCUGUUCGCCCAUGAAAGCGGUACGCGAGCUGGGUUCAGUACGUCGUGAGACAGUUCGGUCCAUAUCCGGUGUAGGCGUUAGAAUAUUGAGAGGAGCCUUCUUUAGUACGAGAGGACCGAGAAGGACAUACCUCUGGUGUACCAGUUAUCGUGCCAACGGUAAACGCUGGGUAGCUAUGUAUGGAGAGGAUAACCGCUGAAAGCAUCUAAGUGGGAAGCCCACCUCAAGAUAAGUAUUCU
rnacentral:rRNA from 1 species